UAACACGGAAAUUACUAACUUAUUCGCCAAUAGUGAUGUCAUGAAAAGAUACGAGAUUCAUCAAACAAAAAGUGGAAGGACCCUGAACAAAAUUCUCAAUAGCUUUUGCCAACAAUCUGCUUUGCAUCGGACACUCUGCACACUCUUGGC